rnacentral:tRNA from 1 species
GCGGUCGUUGUCUAGUGGUAUGAUCUGGGACUGUGGCUCCCAUGGCCGGAGUUCGAUUCUCCGCGACCGCC